GUAACAUCCGUCGUCGAGUGUGGAUGUGAUACGCUUGAGCUCUUUCGCUUUUGGCACAUAACAAACAAAUCGGAGACAUUACAAACUAUAAGAAAAUAGAAAAGAAAAGAGGAAUAGAGAGACAUAGAAAAGAAUAGCAAUAUCGGAAUUGGAUUGAAAACGCUGACCGAACGAGUGAAGGAAGAGAAGACACAAGAGAAAGAAGAGAAAAAUGGAUAAUCCCGUAUUUGUUGGGGAUGAGCAGCAAGUCAAGGAAAGAAAAGUUCAAGGUACGUUGGUGGGUGAUCGCUGCCAUCUUUCUUCAGGUUGGUUCUGAUUUUUGUUGAUCUGAGGAAAGGGAGGGAAGAGAGAGAGAGAGAGAGAAG